UGGCGGACGGGUGAGUAACGCGUAAGAACCUGCCCUUGGAGGGGGACAACAGCUGGAAACGGUUGCUAAUACCCCAUAGGCUGAGGAGCGAAAGGAGGAAUCCGCCUAAGGAGGGGCUUGCGUCUGACUAGCUAGUUGGUGAGGCAAUGGCUUACCAAGGCGGCGAUCAGUAGCUGGUCUGGGAGGAUGAUCAGCCACACUGGGACUGAGACACGGCCCAG
rnacentral:rRNA from 1 species